rnacentral:snRNA from 1 species
GUGCUGGCUUGCACAGCACAGAUAGGAAAAUCGGAACGAUACAGAGAUUAGCAUGGCCCCU